rnacentral:rRNA from 1 species
UACGUAGGGGCUAGCGUUAUCCGGAAUUAUUGGGCGUAAAGAGCGCGCAGGUGGUUGAUUAAGUCUGAUGUGAAAGCCCACGGCUUAACCGUGGAGGGUCAUUGGAAACUGGUCGACUUGAGUGCAGAAGAGGGAAGUGGAAUUCCAUGUGUAGCGGUGAAAUGCGUAGAGAUAUGGAGGAACACCAGUGGCGAAGGCGGCUUCCUGGUCUGUAACUGACACUGAGGCGCGAAAGCGUGGGGAGCAAACAGGAUUAGAUACCCUA